rnacentral:rRNA from 1 species
AGAGUUUGAUCCUGGCUCAGGAUGAACGCUGGCGGCGUGCCUAAUACAUGCAAGUCGAGCGAACAGACGAGGAGCUUGCUCCUCUGACGUUAGCGGCGGACGGGUGAGUAACACGUGGAUAACCUACCUAUAAGACUGGGAUAACUUCGGGAAACCGGAGCUAAUACCGGAUAAUAUAUUGAACCGCGUGGUUCAAUAGUGAAAGACGGUUUUGCUGUCACUUAUAGAUGGAUCCGCGCCGCAUUAGCUAGUUGGUAAGGUAACGGCUUACCAAGGCAACGAUGCGUAGCCGACCUGAGAGGGUGAUCGGCCACACUGGAACUGAGACACGGUCCAUACUCCUACGGGAGGCACCACUAGGGAAUCUUCCGCAAUGGGCGAAAGCCUGACGGAGCAACGCCGCGUGAGUGAUGAAGGUCUUCGGAUCGUAAAACUCUGUUAUUAGGGAAGAACAAAUGUGUAAGUAACUAUGCACGUCUUGACGGUACCUAAUCAGAAAGCCACGGCUAACUACGUGCCAGCACCCGCGGUAAUACGUAGGUGGCAAGCGUUAUCCGGAAUUAUUGGGCGUAAAGCGCGCGUAGGCGGUUUUUUAAGUCUGAUGUGAAAGCCCACGGCUCACCCGUGGAGGGUCAUUGGAAACUGGAAAACUUGAGUGCAGAAGAGGAAAGUGGAAUUCCAUGUGUAGCGGUGAAAUGCGCAGAGAUAUGGAGGAACACCACUGGCGAAGGCGACUUUCUGGUCUGUAACUGACGCUGAUGUGCGAAAGCGUGGGGAUCAAACAGGAUUAGAUACCCUGGUAGUCCACGCCGUAAACG